GAUGAACGCUAGCGGGAGGCCUAACACAUGCAAGCCGAGCGGUAGAGUUUCUUCGGAAACUUGAGAGCGGCGCACGGGUGCGUAACACGUGUGCAACCUACCUUUAUCUGGGGGAUAGCCUUUCGAAAGGAAGAUUAAUACCCCAUAAUAUAAUUAUUGGCAUCAAUUAUUAUUUAAAACUCCGGUGGUUAGAGAUGGGCACGCGCAAGAUUAGAUAGUUGGUGAGGUAACGGCUCACCAAGUCAAUGAUCUUUAGGGGUCCUGAGAGGGAGAUCCCCCACAGUGGUACUGAGACACAGACCAGACUCCUACGGGAGGCAGCAGUGAGGAAUAUUGGACAAUGGGUGAGAGCCUGAUACAGCCAUCCCGCGUGAAGGAUGACGGUCCUAUGGAUUGUAAACUUCUUUUGUACAGGGAUAAACCUACCCUCGUGAGGGUAGCUGAAGGUACUGUAAGAAUAAGCACCGGCUAACUCCGUG
rnacentral:rRNA from 1 species